UGGCACUCGCAAAUAUGAAAUUCAAAAAUGAGAAUUUGAAUUUGGUUUGAGUACUUGAAAUUGAAAACAAAGCAGAAAUUUCAUAAAAGAAAAUAGGAAAGAAAACCCAAAAAUGCCACUUGGGCCGAAUUCUCUCCUCUUGGCCCAUCUCACUCAUGUUGUCGGGCGCUCGUGGACCUCUCAAGCUGGCCCAUCUUUCCUCCUGGCGCGGUCACUGACAUGCGGACCGCUCAACUAGCCUCCCUCCUCCACUGCAAUGAGCCUUCUUGGUGGGACCCAAUAGUCAGUAUUGCCACUAACCUUGAGUCCGAAUUGGGGAAUCUCGCGUGCCGGUCACGCAAGAACCCCUCCAUGGAUCUAGGCAUUGGUUGAGAAUCUUAACAAACCCACCUAUAUAAGCCGAGCCCCCCCACCUUGAUCCCAUCUAUCGUGUAGUCAAAGAAGCUUGGGCUGAGAGCAUCGACCGGAUAACACAGAAAAGAAAGUAUUUAGAGAGAGAAAACGAGGGAGGCGAGGGCUACCCAUGAGCCAGUGCGAUAUUGGUGUGGUCGGACUUGUCACCAUCGAUCGCCGCGCGUGGGUGUGCGUUAUCCGUGCGGGGGAGCCCGGAAUUGCUCGCAAUCUUUGGGUUUGACCAUAGGGCCACAUCACGGCGUGGCCGAGCUCCUUCACAAAUCGGCAGCAGGCCUCUGCUCCUCCGUGGUCGGC
rnacentral:lncRNA from 7 species